CAGCAGCCGCGGGAAUACGUAGGUGGCAAGCGUUGUCCGGAUUUAUUGGGCGUAAAGCGAGCGCAGGCGGUCAAUUAAGUCUGAUGUGAAAGCCCCCGGCUCAACCGGGGAGGGUCAUUGGAAACUGGUUGACUUGAGUGCAGAAGAGGAGAGUGGAAUUCCAUGUGUAGCGGUGUAAUGCGUAGAUAUAUGGAGGAACACCAGUGGCGAAGGCGACUCUCUGGUCUGUAACUGACGCUGAGGCUCGAAAGCGUGGGUAGCAAACAGGAUUAGAUACCCGUGUAGUCCCUGUCUCUUAUAC
rnacentral:rRNA from 1 species